GAAGUGCGAUAAGCAAUGCGAAUUGCAGAAUUCCGCGAAUCAUCAGAUCUUUGAACGCAAAUGGCGCCGGAGGGAUAUCCUUUCGGCAUGUCUGUUUCAGUGUCUGAGAGGUUUCACACAAAUCUUAAUGUGAUUGAAGGGUUUCUUAGAGGUAGCAAUAUCUCUGCUAAACUCUUCUCUCAUGAAAGAUGGGUGAGUGGAUCUUUCGGUCCAAUGAAGUGGUCACAUCACUCGCAUGUGAUUUCAUUGGAAAUCACCGAAUUAUUCGUAUACUCACCGUAACAAAUAACCAAAAUCUCCAUACCCUGCAUCUGAGAUAGGCAAGAUCACCCGCUGAACUUAA
rnacentral:misc_RNA from 1 species